rnacentral:lncRNA from 1 species
GGUAAAGCAAAAAUAGUACUGGCAUGCAAAAAUUUCAACUAGCAUGCCCUUGAGUCGACUUAAGUUUGAUUUGAGUCAACUUAAAUAUAGAAUGGCAGAAAAGUAAAUUUUCAGAAUAGAAAAAUGUAUCGGGUCAAGCAGCACCUUGAGUCGACUUGAUAAAUUUGAGUCGAAGUUACUAGAAAAGAUAGAGAGGGAU